CAGCAGGAACACAGAGCAGCUGUGGAGGGAGGGGUUUGGUCCUCUGGGGCCUGACAACCCCCUCUGAUCGCCCUCACUUCUCAUAAAGAGGCAAAGGCCGGAUUUCCGAGGCCUGGGAGGAGUGCUCCAAGGGCUCACCGGACAAGCCAGGAACUGUCAGUGUCUAAUUGUAUCAUUUGGCUGCUAAGUGAAGGAGUGAGGGAAUAGCCCCGGUGCAGGCCCACCCAACUGUCAACACAGUUCCAUGCUGGUAGGUUCUGCAGCUCAGACCUAGGACUCCUGGAUCUCCACCCUACCCCAGCAGACCUCAGGCCCGGGCUCUGACACCUACCUAGUCCCAGGCUCUCUAGUGUCCACCUCCUGCAGGAGCUCCAGGCCCUGAAACCCAGCCUGUUUGCUUGGACUCCAGAGGCCAGCAUCCUAUCAGCAUCUCUUUGCAUCAGGACUCAGCCCCUCAUCUGUCUACUUCUCCCCACCUAUGUGAUGCAGCACAAACUGCUCAUCCUGCCAGCCCAAGUGUGAACCUGCACCCAGGACAGAAAUGGCUCAUCAGACGCAGCACUGUUUCUCCCUGAACUAAGAUCCAUUUGCAAUAAAAUUCAGGCACCUACUGCCUGUUUAUGA